GUUUGGUUUUGAGGUGGAGCUCCUAUCAUUCCAAUGAAAGGUCUUGCUAGGAGGGGUGGUACAGCUGCUCGUUCAUGGUUCCCACUAUCCUACCUCCGUUUGAAACCAGGGAGAUAGGCCUGUGGCUAGCAUGACCGAGGAGCCGCAUCGUCCCCUCGCUGGCCGCUCUUUGGAUUGAAGGGAGCUCUGCAUCUUGGCCU
rnacentral:pre_miRNA from 1 species